CCUACGGGUGGCAGCAGUGAGGAAUAUUGGUCAAUGGACGAGAGUCUGAACCAGCCAAGUAGCGUGAAGGAUGACUGCCCUAUGGGUUGUAAACUUCUUUUAUAUGGGAAUAAAAUGUUCCACGUGUGGGAUUUUGUAUGUACCAUAUGAAUAAGGAUCGGCUAACUCCGUGCCAGCAGCCGCGGUAAUACGGAGGAUCCGAGCGUUAUCCGGAUUUAUUGGGUUUAAAGGGAGCGUAGGUGGAUUGUUAAGUCAGUUGUGAAAGUUUGCGGCUCAACCGUAAAAUUGCAGUUGAAACUGGCAGUCUUGAGUACAGUAGAGGUGUGCGGAAUGCGUGGUGUAGCGGUGAAAUGCUUAGAUAUCACGAAGAACUCCGAUUGCGAAGGCAGUUCACUGGACUGCAACUGACACUGAGGCUCGAAAGUGUGGGUAUCAAACAGGAUUAGAUACCCCUGUAGUC
rnacentral:rRNA from 1 species